ACAGGGCUGCGUCUCUCCACACGGACCCCAGAUUUCGACGCCAGGGCUCGGCCUCGCCGACAAACACAAAAACCGCUGCAAGCGACAGCGAGGGUGGGGAAGCAGCGUGAGGGAGACGAGGGAGAGUAAAGCAAAGGGAAGGCCGGGAAGUAAUGUCGAACGCACUUCCGGCUACGGUAGGCCGAAGGGGUCAAAUUUCACAGCCUGCCAUCGUGGACCGGUGAGAAUAAGAUUAUGGAGGCAUCAAGCAGGGCAUUGCUGGAGGAGGAGCUGAUUGGACAAAGUGGACUUUGACAGGUCUAUUUUAUGAAGGCUCCCCGCUCUAGUGGUCCAUUUAUUAUUGUUCAAAUAUUUUUUAAUGUUUUUGUUUCGUUGGUUUUGGUUUUUAGAGACAGGGUUUCUCUGUGUAGUCCUGGCUGUCCACCUGUAGCCCACCUGCCUCUGCCUCUGCCUACCAAGUGCUGGGAUUAAAGGCACUUGCCACCACUAUUGGCGCCCCUACGUCUCUCUCCCUCUCCCUUUCUCUGUAUGUGUGUGUGUGUCACUGAAAAAAAUUAUAUAUAAAUAUAUGUUUGCAUAUAUUAGACACGUGUAAAUAUAUAAUGCAUGCAUAUGCAUACGAGUAUGCAUGUAUGUAUGUGCAUACAAGUAUGCGUGCAUGCACAUGUAUGCCCGUACACAUGUAUGUGCUGCAUAUGUAUUAUACACAUAUGCAUACAUGUUUAUAUGCACAUAUAAAUAUGUAAAUAUAUUUUUUUAAAGCUAGCCAUUGGGAAGCAGAGGCAAGUAGAUAUCUGAUGGAAGAAGGUCAUUGGUUAAAAAAUAAAGAAACUGCUUGGCCCUGAUAGGUAGAAAAUUAGGUAGGUGGAGUAAACAGAACAGAAUGCUGGGAGGAAGAGGAAGUGAGCUCAGACUCGAUAGCUCUCCUCUCUGGGGCAGAUGCUCCCCUCUCCCAGGCAGACGCGAUUAAGCUCCAACCCAGGAUGGACGUAGGCUAGAAUCUUUCCGAGACAGGUUGGCUCCUAGCAGCAGCACUCUAUUUCCUCCAAAGAAGACAAAAGACAAAUGGGCACACAACAACGUCCAUCUGCAAUUCACUUCAACUGACAAGCAUUGACCACUAGGAGAAACUGCCUUUCAUCUAAACUGAAGAUCACCAGACAGUGGACAGACUUACCGGAAUCGACAGCCUAGCUGCUCAGGUGAAGGUAGGCUUGUCUUCCUACAGAUUUGUUAACCCACAGGAUCUUCUGGAGCCUGGCAGGCCUUGCGCUAAACAGCAAAAGGCAAAUACGUAGGUGCCAACCAAGGUAAGUUCUCUGUCAUAUUUUAAUCAAUAACUCAAAUAAAAUUUUAUCCUUCUCAAAAAUCUCUGAUGCAAUUUGACAGCUGAGAGGUUUGUCAUUUAAAAGGACAACCUCACCAAACAAGUUAACAAAAUUCUCUCUCAUGCUGCCUUUCAUACUCUUAAAGAUACUUUUCAUUAUGCAAAAAUAUCUGUCACAGGGCUGGAGAGAUGACUCAGAGGUUAAGAGCACUGGCUGCUCUUCCAGAGGUCCUGAGUUCAAUUCCCAGCAACCACAUGGGGACUCACAACCAUCUGUACUGAGAUCUGGCGCCCUCCUCUGGCGUGCGGGCAUACAUCGAGGCAGAAUGUUGUAUACAUAAUAAAUAAAUACAUCUUUAAAAAAAAUAUCUGUCACAGGGGGCUGGAGAGAUGGCUUGGUGGUUAAGAGCAUUGCCUGCUCUUCCAAAGGUUCUGAGUUCAAUUCCCACCACCACAUGGUGGCUCACAACCAUCUGUAAUGAGGUCUGGUGCCCUUUUUACAUAAUAAAUAAAUAUUAUUAAAAAAUAUAUCUGUCACAGUCAUAAACCCAAAAAAUUCUUAUGAGUUCCAGGGAGCCAAAUUAAAGGAUCCACCUUAAACAGGUCAAAUACACCCCCUCUCAAUUCCCUGGUCUAAAAAUUUUUUUCUUCUUAAACUUAACUUUGUCCUCUGUUCUGCCAAUACCUUAAACAGGUGUAAAAGACACUAGAUAUUUCCAUACCACAAAUCCUGGCCAGGAGCAAUCUUUUUUUUUUUGUUUUGUUUUGUUUUGUUUUGUUUUUCGAGACAGGGUUUCUCUGUAGCUUUGGAGCCUGUCCUGGAACUAGCUCUGUAGACCAGGCUGGUCUCGAACUCACAGAGAUUCACCUGCCUCUGCCUCCUGAGUGCUGGGAUUAAAGGCGUAAGCCACCAUCGCCCGGCUCAGGAGCAAUCUUUUACAUUGUAUGAAAAUCUAAAGAUUUAAGAGCUGCAUAAACUAGCUGAAGAAGCAUUCUCAACUCUGGUGGUUCUCUUCUCCUGUAAAUAGGAGACUGUAGCCUUUGGGAGCAUGAUUAUUCAUAAAGCAUUAUAAUUUAUCCUGACAAGAAAGUAUGGCUCCAAGACACAGGGCCCAAAAGUAUCUCUCUCCACUAAUCUCUUUUCUUCUCAGAGAUCAGCAGUCAAUGACGGAUUUGAAGCUUCUUCAAAUGCCUAAGACAGGAGCUUGCAUAUAAGAAUACCUGUUCCAAAGAUGGGAAAAUUUGGGUAAAUGAAGAGGACUUUGCCUAAGCCAGGCAUGAUCUGUCUGUCCUGUUGCAGAAGCAUAGGCUUUAUUAAAAUUAAUAAGAGAGAGUGGAUUGUAGGACCAUAUUUCUACGUGGUGUGACAGCCAAGUUCUCAGGCCAAGCCUAGUAUCCAGAGAAGUCAGGUGACCUUCCAGACAGGCUGUUGCUAACCUAACAAAAGGUCAGGAUGUUGUUUUGUUCCUUUCUUUGUAAUUUGGAGGAUGCCUGAUAGAGAUGCUAAUUCAAGCCUACAGUCCAGCUAGCAUACAGAGCACACAGGUAGCUGUGGAUGAGAGUAAAAGACAUUCACCUGGUUACCUAGGAGACAGAAUACUAAUGUAUUUACCCCUCAGUGUAUGUUUUGGUAUAAAAGCUGUUUGGAGAAUAAAGCGAGAGGAAUUCUCAGGAACUCAGGACUUCAUGAGGGACCACUGAGAAUCUCCCUCCUGAUAAAGCCAUGUGAGCUGUGUCUUUAUUCCUGCACCUCCAUGCCAGUCCAGAGAGAUAGUUUAUGUUGGGGUCUAGUUCAAAGAAAUAAUUUAUGGUACACCGGACCCCGACAGUCCUGGGACGCCAGUGCUGGUACCACCUCUCCCGGCUCAAGAGGACACCUAUCCAGCAACUGGGACCUGGUUCUCCAAGAUAUCCCAAUGAAGAGUGUACCUGCUGUUGUGUUUGGCUCAUUCACCCUUGUCUCUCUUGGACAGGGCAUUCCUCCAUUCCAUUCCUUCUGGCAGUCUCCUCUCUUCCUAUGGCUAACCCCAUUCAUAGCGCUCGUACUAUUAACCUAUUUUUUCUUCUAGCAACCUGCCUUCUUAGCCUCCUCAUGGAGCAGAUGCCUGAGGUCUCCAGGAUAACAGAUAACCAAAUGCUUCUUCAUCCAUACCUCCAAGUUAAGUGUGGGCCCACGACUCCCAGCUCUCCUGUCCCCACAUCAUCCCAUGCCUGCAGGAAGUAGCCAGACUUGAACCUACAUCCAUAUAGCCAAGGAGUCUGGGAUGCUUAGAUGGAAACGCCACCUGGUCUCACUCUUCCCUUUCCAGACCUGAGAAAACCCACCCACCAAGAUCCUCCUCCCUCGAGAUCCUCAAGACCACUCCUACAGGCUGUUUAGGAUGCAGUCCCCCCUCACCUGCCACGCGAUUUCUGUUCCCCCACCCAAGACCACCCGGGAGUUGCUUUGCUCAUUAAACCUAGACUUUUAAUUA